UGAGGAAUCUUGCGCAAUGGGGGAAACCCUGACGCAGCAACGCCGCGUGAGUGAGGAAGGCCUUCGGGUCGUAAAGCUCUGUCAGUUGGAAAGAAAUGCCUGGGAAUUAAUACCUUUCAGGCUUGACGGUACCAACAGAGGAAGCACCGGCUAACUCCGUGCCAGCAGCCGCGGUAAUACGGGGGGUGCAAGCGUUGUUCGGAAUUAUUGGGCGUAAAGAGCGUGUAGGCGGCUGGAUGUGUCAGAUGUGAAAGCCCUGGGCUUAACCCAGGAAGUGCAUUUGAAACUGUCCGGCUUGAGUAGGGGAGAGGGAAGUGGAAUUCCUGGUGUAGAGGUGAAAUUCGUAGAUAUCAGGAGGAACACCGGUGGCGAAGGCGACUUCCUGGCCCUAUACUGACGCUGAGACGCGAGAGCGUGGGUAGCAAACA
rnacentral:rRNA from 1 species